rnacentral:rRNA from 1 species
UACGUAGGGUGCAAGCGUUGUCCGGAAUCAUUGGGCGUAAAGAGCGUGUAGGCGGCCUGAUCAGUCCGCUGUAAAAGUCCAGGGCUCAACCCUGGAAGGCCGGUGGAUACUGUCAGGCUAGAGUCCGGAAGAGGCGAGUGGAAUUCCUGGUGUAGCGGUGAAAUGCGCAGAUAUCAGGAGGAACACCAAUGGCGAAGGCAGCUCGCUGGGACGGUACUGACGCUGAGACGCGAAAGCGUGGGGAGCAAACAGG